rnacentral:lncRNA from 1 species
CGCACAAUUAUUACUAGAAACCCGAAUCUAUUUAGAUAAAUUAGAGAACACAUUAUUAUGGUCAUGUACCAAUACAAAAGUUGUUGCACCUUUUCAUGGUGACCCUAUUGAAUACAACCUUUUUUUAUUUCUAUGCACCUCUUCAUGGUUUCCUUUUCCAAUAUAAUAAACUUAUUAAGGUUUUUUUAUGAUAUAAGAUAAUAAAUUAAUGGUACCUUUUUCAUUCGAUAUAAUGUCAAACACUUUCUAACGAGGGAAGAAUAUAAAAGUAGCAACUAGACGUCGACAUGUGUCCACAUUGAUUCUCCUUGGAUAACAUCACUACCUCCCCUCCUGAGAAGACGAUACAAUGAUACAGAGCCUCGGCGAGUCUUAAGCCUGCACCUCUAUCACCAAAGCGAAGAGAAAACAACACCGGUCUGAUCUUUAGCGCCACAAGAGCCUGGGUGAAGAAGAGAUAACAACAUCACUUUCCUUCUGUAGGACCACUUCAAGCUCGCAUAACACGACCUGCAAGGAGACAUCUUCUGAUACCAUAAGAAUCAUCAAUGGGCUUCCCUAAUCACUCGUCAUGAUUUCUCUAACACACCACCAUGACAAGCUCAUCUUAAUACAUGGAAGGAGAUCCAUAUCCCACUCCUAGUUUCUACUUUCUCUUGGACAACCUUUUUCCCUGACAAGAGGAAGAGGAAGAGCAAGCAAUAUUUCUUCUCCUGUAUCCGUCCUAAUUUAUCACCCGGCUUCCUCCAAUCAUAAGUUCACGCAGCUCGCUCUCCUAUCAUGGAGCAUCCUCUGGGUUGAAUUUGGAAGGAGGCUGUGUCAAUCAACAGCCGAUACCCCUUCUUUAUCUGUCUUGCAGACUGGGGGUGGGAGUGGGGGGGGGGGGUGAGACAUCGUCUUCCUCGAGGCUCGAGUAGGGAAACGCGAAGGCGAAGUUUCCUUAAUGCCAACUAGACCGUGACUAGAUUGGUAAAACGAUGAAGCGUUGAAAUGAACUCGAUCUGUUUCGUGGAUGAACGACAAAGACUAUCCCCCAUCAAUUUUUGCAGCCAUGGUUUUGCAUACAAACAGGAAGAACGUUGUACUUGAAGCUGACAACAGCCACCAUGGCCAUCUUGGAGCGUUGCCAGUAAAGGGACAACACACUGAUGGCCACAGUAACUCCUUGAUGCUGCCCUCUUUCUAAUGGACCCUAUACGGACCAAAGAAAGAUUCACAAGAGACUCAUUGACAUCUGUUCUCUUCUACAUUUCUUAUGUGUGCAUAAUUCUCCUAAUACUUGAUAUCAAUGGGCUUCUUGUUUAUACUUAUCAUAAAGUCUCCAUAGAAUAUACACCAAGAAUAUACUCCCAACUGAUGUGGUUUGAGUUGA